AUUCUACCCAUGUGGGGAAGGAUGAGAAGCUUCGACUAAGGUUCGAUUCGAGCGUCAGCGAGAAAGCGUUGCCGCAGGCAACGACCCGAAGGGCGAAGCGCGCUGCGCUGAGUCAUCCUUCCCCCACCACCA
rnacentral:sRNA from 1 species